CGCUCAAAGAUGGUUCUGCGUCUGAUUAGCUAGUUGGUGGGNCAACGGCCUACCAAGGCGACGAUCAGUAGCCGGUCUGAGAGGAUGAACGGCCACAUUGGAACUGAGACACGGUCCAGACUCNUACGAGAGGCAGCAGUGGGGAAUCUUCCGCAAUGGGCGAAAGCCUGACGGAGCAACGCCGCGUGAGUGAAGAAGGCCUUCGGGUCGUAAAGCUCUGUUGUCAGGGACGAAUGUAGCGCUUAUCAACAACGAGUGCUAAUGACGGUACCUGACGAGGAAGCCACGGCUAACUACGUGCCAGCAGCCGCGGUAAUACGUAGGUGGCGAGCGUUGUCCGGAAUUAUUGGGCGUAAAGGGAGCGCAGGCGGGAGGCCAAGUCCAUCCUAAAAGUUCGGGGCUCAACCCCGUGAGGGGAUGGAAACUGGUCUUCUUGAGUGCAGGAGAGGAAAGCGGAAUUCCUAGUGUAGCGGUGAAAUGCGUAGAUAUUAGGAGGAACACCAGUGGCGAAGGCGGCUUUCUGGACUGUAACUGACGCUGAGGCUCGAAAGCCAGGGGAGCGAACGGGAUUAGAUACCCCGGUAGUCCUGGCCGUAAACGAUGAAUGCUAGGUGUAGGAGGUAUCGACCCCUCCUGUGCCGGAGUUAACGCAAUAAGCAUUCCG
rnacentral:rRNA from 1 species